GAGUUUGAUCAUGGCUCAGAUUGAACGCUGGCGGCAGGCCUAACACAUGCAAGUCGAGCGGUAGAGAGAAGCUUGCUUCUCUUGAGAGCGGCGGACGGGUGAGUAAUGCCUAGGAAUCUGCCUGGUAGUGGGGGAUAACGUUCGGAAACGGACGCUAAUACCGCAUACGUCCUACGGGAGAAAGCAGGGGACCUUCGGGCCUUGCGCUAUCAGAUGAGCCUAGGUCGGAUUAGCUAGUUGGUGAGGUAAUGGCUCACCAAGGCGACGAUCCGUAACUGGUCUGAGAGGAUGAUCAGUCACACUGGAACUGAGACACGGUCUAGACUCCUACGGGAGGCAGCAGUGGGGAAUAUUGGACAAUGGGCGAAAGCCUGAUCCAGCCAUGCCGCGUGUGUGAAGAAGGUCUUCGGAUUGUAAAGCACUUUAAGUUGGGAGGAAGGGCAGUUACCUAAUACGUGAUUGUUUUGACGUUACCGACAGAAUAAGCACCGGCUAACUCUGUGCCAG
rnacentral:rRNA from 1 species